rnacentral:rRNA from 1 species
AAGGAUCAUUAUUGAAUAAACCUGAUGGGCUGUUAGCUGGCUUUUCGAAGCAUGUGCUCGUCUGUCAUCUUUAUCUCUCCACCUGUGCACAUUUUGUAGUCUUGGAUACCUCUCGAGGCAACUCGGAUUUUAGGAUUGCCGUGCUGUACAAGUCGGCUUUUCUUUCAUUUCCAAGACUAUGUUUUUAUAUACACCAAAGUAUGUUUAAAGAAUGUCAUCAAUGGGAACUUGUUUCCUAUAAAAUUAUACAACUUUCAGCAACGGAUCUCUUGGCUCUCGCAUCGAUGAAGAACGCAGCGAAAUGCGAUAAGUAAUGUGAAUUGCAGAAUUCAGUGAAUCAUCGAAUCUUUGAACGCACCUUGCGCUCCUUGGUAUUCCGAGGAGCAUGCCUGUUUGAGUGUCAUUAAAUUCUCAACCUUCCAACUUUUAUUAGCUUGGCUAGGCUUGGAUGUGGGGGUUGCGGGCUUCAUUAAUGAGGUCGGCUCUCCUUAAAUGCAUUAGCGGAACUUUUGUGGACCGUCUAUUGGUGUGAUAAUUAUCUACGCCGUGGAUGUGAAGCAGCUUUAUAAAGUUCUGCUUCUAACCGUCCAAUAACUUGGACAAUUUUGACAAUUUGACCUCAAAUCAGGUAGGACUACCCGCUGAACUUAA